GCAAGUAUGAUUUUCAUCACCAUCUUCAUCUGGACACUGACCUGCUGCUGCUUUAAAGAGUCCAGAGGACAGGUGACUGUGACUCAGACUCCAGAAGUGAAAUCUGCUCUCACAGGAGACACAGUCACUAUCAACUGUAAAACCAGCUCUGCAGUGUACAGUGGUACUUAUUUAGCCUGGUACCAACAGAAACCUGGAGAGGCUCCUAAACUCCUUAUUUAUUAUGCAACAACCCGUCAGUCUGGAGUUCCAGAUCGUUUCAGUGGCAGUGGAUCUAGGACUGACUUCACUCUGACCAUCAGUAACAUCCAGACUGAAGAUGCAGGAGAUUAUUACUGUCAGAAUCGACAUCAGAUCAGUGGUAACUGGGUGUUCACACAGUGA